rnacentral:rRNA from 1 species
AACAGGUGGAGCCUGCGGUUUAAUCGGACUCAACGCCGGGAAACUCACCAGAUAAGACAGCUGAAUGAUAGUCGGGCUGAAGACUCUACUUGACUAGCUGAGAGGAGGUGCAUGGCCGUCGUCAGUUCGUACUGUGAAGCAUCCUGUUAAGUCAGGCAACGAGCGAGACCCACGCCAACAGUUGCCAGCUCGUCCUCCGGGAUGGUGGGGACACUGUUGGGACCGCCUCUGCUAAAGAGGAGGAAGGAAUGGGCAACGGUAGGUCAGCAUGCCCCGAAUUAUCUGGGCUACACGCGGGCUACAAUGGGUGGGACAAUGGGUAUCGACACCGAAAGGUGAAGGCAAUCUCCUAAACCCAUCCGUAGUUCGGAUUGUGGGCUGCAACUCGCCCACAUGAAGCUGGAAUCCGUAGUAAUCGCGUUUCAACAGAACGCGGUGAAUACGUCCCUGCUCCUU